rnacentral:rRNA from 1 species
AUGGAGUUGGUAUGUUGGAACGUGAGGGGGCUUAACAGCCCGGCUAAGCGUGAUGCCCUACGUGAGCUAGUUGAUUCCAUGAAAGUAGCUAUCUGGUGUAUCUUAGAGACUAAAUUGGAGAGGGUAGACCAUUAUGUAAUAUUGCAAUGCCUGGGGCCAACUUAUGAUGGGUUUGCAUACUUGCCAGUGUCGUCUACCCGGGGUGGUAUUUUCAUUGCUUGG